ensembl:lncRNA
CCUCCGCCGCCGCCGCCGCCUCCUUGGUGCGCUCUAAGCCCCGCCCAAGCAAGCAAAUAAAUAUAUCAAAGCGGGGCGCGCCCUUAAUGGACUAGGACCGGGGUCCCUUGGAAAAGAUUGGCGGACGCCGGGACCCCGGGGAGGCUGAAGGACCCCACGAGAUGUGAGCAACGUGGAUCACUUCCUCCUCUCCCGAGUAUUUUUCUAUCUAUGCCGACACUGCGCCGGGGAAGCUUUCCAGGCACUUAACCCUGGGGUUGUUGGAAACCCAUUUCACUGAUGAAGAAAAUGAGCUCCGGGAAGGUUAAGGGACUUGCUCGACAUAACACACAUAAUCAACAGCCCUGGGAUUGGAAUGCAGACACCAGCGUCUCAGCCCUGAAUCCCUAGGGUUCUGACUCUUAAGUGUGCCCAGUCCAAUCCCAAGCCAACUCUGGCUGUGCAAGCACCACUCCAUGCUUGUGUCCCAGAACCGGGUCCUCGCACUGGCUGUGGAAGCUGGUUUUCCAGAGGCGUGUGUACUUCUGGCUGGCUGCCACUCUUGCCUCCUGCCCUCUGCUUCAGUUCCUGGCCACUGAGCUUCUCGAGGUCCUUAUUGAAUCUGGGGCCCGGAAGAUGCUGGGGACCCUCAGACCGAGAUGCAUGGAAAGCCCUAAUGGUGGUGGUGACCUAGUGAGCCUCUGGUUUUUCACUAUAUCCUCAGCAUUUGUCACACUGUUACUAGUGAGUAGUAGGCACUCAAUUAAACGAAUGAGUGGCUAUUCACCACCUGUCACUUCGUGCCCACUUAGUGCUGGGAGGAAGGAGUCAAUACCAAGGGCAGGGGCACCUGCCCUAUGGCUCAGUGUUUCUGGAAAGAUCAGGCUACUGCUGUCAUGUUCACCCCUGGCCUUCAGCUCUCAGCUGAAGAGGCACGUGGCCUGCUUCAACAAAAGCGUGGAAAACUUGACACUCAGGAGCGUUCAAAGCAACUUGUAACAAAUGGCAGUGAGGCGGAGCUCGUGGAGAGAGCUGUACAAAAAAAAAAUGUCUUGUGUGUAUGGCAAUGAGAGGAGGCAAAGUUGACCUCAGUACAUUAGUAGAAAGGACAAAGUGCUCUGGGACCGGCAACAGCCUGAGCAGGGUCGAGACAAAGAGCAGACAGAACUGCUGACAGCUGGCCGAGAAGUGUUAGAGUGGGUGUGCCACCAGCCCUGCCGGGGCAAGAACCCUGGCAGAAGCACCAAUGGGCAGGCGCUGGCAUCAGCAGCAGACAGUGUGGCUAGAGACGUCAAUGUCUUCCUACCCUCAAUGUGACUGGAG